GGUCCCUAUUGUUUUCUAUGGGUCCCUAUGGGUCCCUAUAGGUCCCUAUUGUUUUCUAUGGGUCCCUAUGGGUCCCUAUUGGUUUCUAUGGGUCCCUAUGGGGUUGCAGUACCUCCUCCCGCCCACAGGGGGGCGCUGUUUGUGCUCCCCCAUUGGUUUCUAUGGGUCCCUAUGGGUGCAGUACCUCCUCCCGCCCACAGGGGGGCGCUGUUUGUGCUCCCCCCAUUGGUUUCUAUGGGUCCCUAUGGCUCCCUAUAUGUCCCUAUUGUUUUCUAUUGGUCCCUAUGGCUCCCUAUAGGUCCCUAUUGUUUUCUAUGGGUCCCUAUGGGUCCCUAUUGGUUUCUAUGGGUCCCCAUUGGUUUCUAUGGGUCCCUAUGGCUCCCUAUAGGUCCCUAUUGGUUUCUAUGGGUCCCUAUGGGGUUGCAGUACCUCCUCCCGCUUUCAGGGGGGCGCUGUUUGUGCUCCCUCCAUUGGUUUCUAUGGGUCCCCAUUGGUUUCUAUGGGCCCCUAUUGGUUUCUAUGGGUCCCUAUUGGUUUCUAUGUGUCCCCAUUGGUUUCUAUGGGUCCCUAUGGGGUUGCAGUACCUCCUCCCGCCCACAGGGGGGCGCUGUUUGUGCUCCCCCAUUGGUUUCUAUGGGUCCCCAUUGGUUUCUAUGGGUCCCUAUGGCCCCCCAUAUUAACCCCCCCAUACUAUACCCCAGGCUCUCUGUCCGUGCUGGAUUGCGGCCUAUUUCCGGGUCUCCCGUUCCCGUCGCUCCCCACCGAGGUCAAUCUCUUCCUGUUACCCCCGAUGGAACCGGAAGCUGACGACGCCCCCCCACGGACAGGUAAACAGCCCCGGUGCCGACAUGUUGCCGUAUACCGGAAGUGGGGGUCUACCGGAAGUGGCGUGUACUUCCGGUGGUGACCUGUUCCCAUAUACCGGAAGUGGGUGGUCUACAGGAAGUGGGUUCUACCGGAAGUGGGUUCUACCGGAAGUGGGGUGUAUUUCCGGCGAUGGCGUAUUCCAAAAUCCGGAAGUGGGUCGUACUUCUGGUGGCUACAUGCUCUCAUAUGCCGGAAGUGGGAGGGGGGGUCUCCCGGAAGUGGGUGGU
rnacentral:lncRNA from 1 species